rnacentral:rRNA from 1 species
UACGGGGGGGGCAAGCGUUGUUCGGAAUUACUGGGCGUAAAGGGCGUGUAGGCGGCCAACUAAGUCCGACGUGAAAUCCCCAGGCUUAACCUGGGAACUGCAUCCGAUACUGGAUGGCUUGAAUCCGGGAGAGGGAUGCGGAAUUCCUGGUGUAGCGGUGAAAUGCGCAGAUAUCAGGAGGAACACCAAUGGCGAAGGCAGCUCGCUGGGACGGUACUGACGCUGAGACGCGAAAGCGUGGGGAGCAAACAGG